ensembl:miRNA tgu-mir-7643 tgu-mir-7643
CAAGGGGAAGGUGACUGAGACAUGAUGCUCAUAAUGACCUUUGUAAAUGACAUCUGUUUCUCAGUCAACAACUCCCUUGAUUUGCCCUCAUCCUGACAGUGGCUUUUGUGAA